CCUACGGGGCGCUGCAGUGGGGAAUAUUGGACAAUGGGCGAAAGCCUGAUCCAGCCAUGCCGCGUGUGUGAAGAAGGCCUUCGGGUUGUAAAGCACUUUCAGUGGGGAAGAAAGCCUUGGGGCUAAUACCCUCGAGGAAGGACAUCACCCACAGAAGAAGCACCGGCUAACUCCGUGCCAGCAGCCGCGGUAAUACGGAGGGUGCGAGCGUUAAUCGGAAUUACUGGGCGUAAAGCGCGCGUAGGCGGUCUGAUAAGCCGGUUGUGAAAGCCCCGGGCUCAACCUGGGAACGGCAUCCGGAACUGUCAGGCUAGAGUGCAGGAGAGGAAGGUAGAAGUCCCGGUGUAGCGGUGAAAUGCGUAGAGAUCGGGAGGAAUACCAGUGGCGAAGGCGGCCUUCUGGACUGACACUGACGCUGAGGUGCGAAAGCGUGGGUAGCAAACAGGAUUAGAUACCCUAGUAGUC
rnacentral:rRNA from 1 species